UACGUAGGGUGCGAGCGUUAAUCGGAAUUACUGGGCGUAAAGCGUGCGCAGGCGGUUCGCCAAGUCAGGUGUGAAAUCCCCGGGCUUAACCUGGGAAUUGCGCUUGAAACUAGCGGGCUUGAGUGCGGCAGAGGGGGGUGGAAUUCCACGUGUAGCAGUGAAAUGCGUAGAGAUGUGGAGGAACACCGAUGGCGAAGGCAGCCCCCUGGGUCGACACUGACGCUCAUGCACGAAAGCGUGGGGAGCAAACAGGAU
rnacentral:rRNA from 1 species